AUGGAUGACGAAGCCAUGAGAGGCAGAGGGGAGGAUGCAGAGAAGGGCGAGAGGGAGAGGAAGACCGAGGGGGCUAGGAAGGUGCCCUUCUUCAGCAUGUUCAGGUACGCCAGCCGUGCCGACAUGGCUCUGAUGGCCGUCGGCACCGUGGCGGCCAUGGUUAAUGGCAUGGGCGACCCGCUCAUGACCGUCGUCUUCGCCGCGGUCAUCGACUGUUUUGGUGCCGGCGACAACGUCCUCCAGCGGGUCAGCAAGGUUGUUAUGUACUACAUCUAUUUGGGAAUUGGGACGGCACUAGCUUCAUUUCUCCAGGUGUCAUGCUGGACAAUGACUGGAGAAAGGCAGUCAAUACGCAUCCGAUCUCUAUACCUCGAAGCUGUUCUAAAACAGGAUGUUUCAUUCUUUGAUGUGGAGAUGACAACUGGGGAAGCAAUUUCUAGAAUGUCUGCGGACACUGUAAUGGUCCAAGAUGCCCUUGGAGAGAAGGUAGGCAAGUAUGCACAGCUUUUGACAACCUUUGUUGGAUGUUUUAUCAUCGGAUUCGUAAGAGGCUGGAUGUUAGCUCUUGUUAUGCUCGCAUGCAUACCUCCAAAUAUUCUGUCUUUUGCAAUUAUGUCUCGGUUACGUUCUCAAAUAUCAGCCAGGAGGCAGGCAUCAUAUGCCGAUGCGGGCAAUGUCGUCGAGCAGACCAUUGGAGCUAUAAGAACGGUUAUCUCCUUCAAUGGUGAGAAGAAAGCAAUCGCAUUGUACAACACUCUCACAAAAAGGGCAUAUAAGGCUACAGUCUUGGAAGGGAUUGCCACUGGUCUAGGAACAGGCGGUAUCUUUUCUGUUUUCUUCUGCGGUUACUCUCUAGCCUUUUGGUAUGGUGCUAAGUUAAUCAUCAACGAAGGUUAUACUGGAGGGCAAGUCGUCAAUAUCGUACUUGCAAUGUUAACUGGUUCAAUGGCUAUAGGUACCGCAUCGCCCUCAAUUUCUGCUAUUGCAGAAGGGCAAUCUGCAGCAUAUAGGUUGUUUGAGAUAAUGAACAAAGAACCAAAGAUUGACAUCACCGACACUUCUGGAAUAGUAUUGGACGAUAUCAGGGGCGAUGUUGAACUCAACAAUGUGUUCUUUAGAUAUCCUGCAAGGCCUGAGCAGUUGAUACUUAAUGGGUUGUCUCUACAUGUACCUAGUGGUACUACAAUGGCUAUAGUUGGAGAGAGUGGAAGUGGUAAAUCAACAAUAAUUAGUCUGGUGGAGAGAUUCUACGACCCACAAGCUGGCAAUGUGCUGAUAGAUGGAAUCAACAUCAAGAGUAUGAAACUCCAGUGGAUAAGAGGAAUGAUCAGUCUUGUUAGCCAAGAACCAUUGCUUUUUAUGACCUCCAUCAAAGAUAACAUAACCUAUGGUAAAGAGGAUGCUACGCUUGAAGAGAUCAAGAGAGCAGCUGAGCUUGCAAAUGCAACAAAUUUCAUCGAAAAGUUGCCUAAUGCGUAUGAGACAAUGGUUGGUCAGAAUGGUGCUCAACUUUCUGGAGGGCAGAAACAAAGGAUUGCCAUUGCAAGAGCGAUCCUUAAAAAUCCAAGAGUCCUUCUGUUGGAUGAAGCUACUAGUGCUUUGGAUAUGGAGUCUGAGCGGGUAGUUCAAGAAGCAUUAAAUCGGAUCAUGGUAGGGAUAACUACACUCAUUGUUGCUCAUCGGCUGAGUACAGUCAGAAAUGCAGAUUGCAUAGCAGUGGUUCAUCAAGGAAAGGUAGCUGAACGAGGUGUCCAUGAUGACCUGAUAAAGGAUCCUGAUGGAGCUUAUUCUCAUCUUAUUCGGCUACAACAGGCCAAUACUGAAGAAACACCUGAGAUGCCAUAUGUGGCAGGUUCAAGAUUCAAAAGUACAAGUUUAUCUUUGGAACAGUCUAUCAAGGAUUCUCCCAGGAAUAGAAGACAACACUCCAGUAAAUCCGUUGGACUGUCUAGAUCGGAUGAUUUGUUCAGGCAUGUUGCUAGCAGAGAGGAACACCUGGAAAUUGGUGAUAGUGAGGCUCCAAAGAAAGCACCAAUUGGACGCCUUUUUAAUCUUAGCAGGCCAGAAGCACCAAUUCUCCUGUUAGCUAUCAUAGCUGCCACUGUGCAUGGACUUCUUUUCCCAUCAUUCAGUAUUAUGAUGUCUGGUGGUAUAAGAACAUUCUACUAUCCAGCACACCAACUUCGAAAAGAUUCAACAUUUUGGGCAUUGAUGUGCCUUCUGAUGGCAAUCAUUUCCCUGGUUUCAAUCCAAUUGGAAUUUUACUUAUUUGGAGUAGCCGGUGGGAAACUUAUAGAACGUGUCCGUGCUUUGUCUUUCCAAAGCAUCAUUCAUCAAGAGGUUGCUUGGUUUGAUGAUCCUUCGAAUUCCAGUGGCGCACUUGGUGCAAGGUUGUUUAUUGAUGCUUUGAACAUCCGACGCCUUGUAGGAGAUAACUUGGCCGUGCUAGUGCAGUGUGUCAUUCCUUUUCUGGGUUUGCAGAAUUAUAUCCAAUUGAGGUUUCUGAAAGGGUUCGGUGAAGAUGCUAAGGUGAUGUAUGAAGAUGCAAGUCAAGUUGUGGCUGAAGCAAUUGGUAGUAUUCGAACUGUAGCAUCUUUUGGUGCAGAGAAGAGAGUGAUUACCAUAUACAGCCAAAAAUGCCAGGCUUCAAUGAAACAGGGAAUUAGAAGUGGAAUGGUCGGAGGUGUUGGUUUCAGUUUCUCAAAUUUAAUGUUGUAUCUCACAUAUGCUCUUUGUUUCUAUGUUGGUGCACAGUUUGUACAUGACGGCAAAUCAACCUUUCAAAAUGUUUUCAGAGUUUACUUUGCCUUGGUUUUCACCGCUUUUGGAAUUUCCCAAACAAGUGACAUGGCAUCAGACUCAACAAAAGGUCGAGAAUCUGCGACAUCCAUACUAGCAUUCAUAGACAGGAAGCCCAAAAUUGACUCGACCAGUGAUGAAGGUAUAAAGCUAGAAAAAGUUGAUGGCACCAUAGAGUUCAACCAUGUAAGGUUCAAGUACCCAUCCCGACCAGAUGUCCAAAUAUUCAGCGACUUCACUUUGGGUAUUGCUUCCGGAAAGACUACUGCACUUGUCGGAGAGAGUGGAAGUGGCAAGUCCACAGUAAUUGCUUUGCUGGAGCGAUUCUAUGAUCCGGACUCUGGCACAAUCUCACUAGACGGAACAGAACUCAGAAAGUUAACACUGAGUUGGUUAAGAGACCAAAUGGGACUAGUAAGCCAAGAACCAGUACUUUUCAAUGACACAAUUCGUGCCAACAUAGCAUAUGGAAAGCGAGGAGAAGCAACUGAAGAAGAGAUAAUCACCGUGGCCAAGGCAGCCAACGCUCAUGAGUUCAUAUCGAGCUUGCCACAGGGAUACAACACUAACGUUGGUGAGAGAGGAACACAACUAUCUGGUGGGCAAAAGCAACGGGUAGCUAUUGCCAGGGCGAUCUUGAAGGACCCUAGAAUACUUCUGCUCGACGAAGCAACAAGCGCCCUGGAUGCUGAAUCAGAGCAUAUUGUUCAAGAUACACUGGACCAAGUGAUGGUCAGCAGGACCACCAUUGUCGUAGCACACUGCCUGUCGACGAUCAAAGGAGCAGAUAUGAUCGCAGUUAUCAAAGAUGGUUCAGUUGCCGAGAAGGGGAAGCAUGAAUCUCUCAUGGGCAUCAAGGGUGGAGUCUACGCAUCACUGGUCGAACUACACUCGAAGGCGGCAUAA
rnacentral:rRNA from 1 species